AGUGGCGCACGGGUGCGUAACGCGUGGGAACCUGCCCUUAGGUUCGGAAUAACUCAGAGAAAUUUGAGCUAAUACCGGAUAAUGUCUUCGGACCAAAGAUUUAUCGCCUUUGGAUGGGCCCGCGUUGGAUUAGCUAGUUGGUGGGGUAAAGGCCUACCAAGGCGACGAUCCAUAGCUGGUCUGAGAGGAUGAUCAGCCACACUGGGACUGAGACACGGCCCAGACUCCUACGGGAGGCAGCAGUGGGGAAUAUUGGACAAUGGGCGAAAGCCUGAUCCAGCAAUGCCGCGUGAGUGAUGAAGGCCUUAGGGUUGUAAAGCUCUUUUACCAGGGAUGAUAAUGACAGUACCUGGAGAAUAAGCUCCGGCUAACUCCGUGCCAGCAGCCGCGGUAAUACGGAGGGAGCUAGCGUUGUUCGGAAUUACUGGGCGUAAAGCGCACGUAGGCGGCUUUUUAAGUCAGGGGUGAAAUCCCGGGGCUCAACCCCGGAACUGCCCUUGAAACUGGGAAGCUAGAAUCUUGGAGAGGCGAGUGGAAUUCCGAGUGUAGAGGUGAAAUUCGUAGAUAUUCGGAAGAACACCAGUGGCGAAGGCGACUCGCUGGACAAGUAUUGACGCUGAGGUGCGAGAGCGUGGGGAGCAAACGGGAUUAGAUACCCUGGUAGUCCACGCCGUAAACGAUGAUAACUAGCUGUC
rnacentral:rRNA from 1 species